UAUUUAUCAUGCCACUGGAAGUCAAAAGAAAGCUGGAAUAGCCAUGCUUCUAUCAGACAAACCAUAUUUUAAACCAAAGACUAUAACAAUAGAUGAAGAUGGGCACUAUAUCCUAAUUAAGGAGUCUAUCAAACA